GUUGAUGAAUAUCAAACACAUGGCAGAGUUGUUCUUUAGGCACUGUUGAUCAGCACACAUGUGGAUUAAAAUGUCAAGAAGACAGGAGAAGGAGCGUGCUGGAAUAUUUUAUGGAUGUUAGAAACAAUUUUUUACUGAUGCUAGCAAGCAUGCAUUUGCACACUGCAGUCAGUGCACAACGGAGCCAAAGGUGCUGUUUUGUUUACAUGUAACAUUAGCUAGCCAUUUGUUUGAGUUGUGCCCCAUCUGACAGUGAAAUGUGGCUAGCUCUUACCGCAGCUUGGACUAUGGAGAAGCUAGAGAUGCAAAAGCCCAUUGCAUGCUUUGUAAGGUCACCAGGCUGCUCGUUAUAGCGCACACCUGUCACCAUCGUUACACUCACCUGCGCAUCGUCAGACUCACCUGUCCUCCAUCACUUCCUUGAUUACCUGCACUAUAUAUGUCACUCCCUUUGGUUCCUUCUCCAGGCGUCAUUCUUUCUGUUUCAUGUCUGUGCGUUGUUCAAGGUUCUUGGUUUGUAUUAUAUUCUGUUUAUUUUUAUUAAAACACUCACUCCCUGAACUUGCUUCCCAACUCUCAGCGCACAUCGUUACAGAAUGAUACCUAACCUAAAGAAAGCAUCACGGAGUGUUUUUUGGUUAGGUGGGAAUGACGUUGGGUCCGGCUCUCUACAGGCUCUCAUGCCUCAGCCGGAUUGACAGGCUCCCCUGCUUCCACUGGCUCGUCAGGCUCUCAUGCCUCAUCCAGUCUGUCAGGUUUCCGCUUCCCAGCCGGCAGCAGUUUCCCGCUUCCCAGCCGGCAACAGGUUCCCACGCCUCUGCAGAGGUGACCAGUCCGCUCUUGUUCCCGGGAUCAUCAUUUUGGUCGGCGUCCUGCGGCUGGAGCCGCGCGUCGGGGAGGGGGUACUGUCACGUGUGUUCCCUCUCCGGCCUCUAGGUCACCAGGCUGCUCGUUAUGGCGCACACCUGUCACCAUCGUUACACUCACCUGUGCAUCGUCAGACUCACCUGGACUCAAUCACUUACUUGAUUACCUGCCCUAUAUAUGUCACUCCCUUUGGUUCCUUCUUCAGGCGUCAUUCUUUCUGUUUCAUAUCUGUGCGUUGUUCGCGGUUCUUGUUUUGUAUUAUGUUCCGUUUAUUUUUAUUAAAACACUCACUCCCUGAACUUGCUUCCCGACUCUCAGCGCACAUUGUUACAGCUGCACACUCAGGAAAAAACUUGAAACUGUAACCAGUGCCUGCAACCUGGUUCAGGUUGACAGUCAACCUACCAGGGUAUUUAUAAACAUCACAGGAAUGAAAUCAUCAUCAUGUAUUGAUUAUAUCUUUACUAAUGCUGCAGAAAUCUGCUUUAAAGCAGUAUCCAAAUCCUUAGGAUGUAUACAAUAUAAU
rnacentral:lncRNA from 1 species